rfam:Mus musculus chromosome 11, GRC primary reference assembly.
UGGUGGCCGGGUCUGCUGAGUCCGCAGCACUCAGACUAUGUGCACCUCUGCAGCAGGUGCAGGCCCAGUUGUCACCU